ensembl:lncRNA
GGUGGGAUCUCCGCUGGGAAGUCCUCAACAUCAUCAUCGACCCUCCUUCCGGUGAAACUGCGGUGGAAGAAUCACUCUCACGAAUGUCACGCCCUUCUGGACUCCGGAGCCAAAGGUAAUUUCAUCGAUUCUUCCCUGGCACAUCACCUGAACAUUCCUGUCCUGCCUGUGUCUCUCCCCAUCCACGUCACCGCACUCAACAGCCAGGAACUGCCUCACGUCACACACCACACAGAACCCAUCACACUACUCACUUCUGGCAAUCAUCGCGAGACCAUAUCCUUUUUUCUCAUGGACUCCCCUGUUGCUCCCAUUGUGUUAGGUCACCCCUGGUUAACUAAACAUAAUCCAUGAGUGGAGUGGGGUUGCAACACAGUCACAUUGUGGAGUGAAAGUUGUCAUGAGUCUUGUCUGGUUUCUGCUUGUCCUGUUGUCCCUGUUUCUGUUUUUCAGAAAGAGAACAUGGUAUUGCCAAACAUGCCCGCAGAGUAUCUGGACCUGAAGGAAGUGUUCAUGUUGUCUGCAUUUGGAUGUUCGUGUUUCCCCGGAACCUCAUCCACUCUCCGCACUAUCACUCUGCCACAAAGACUUACCUUCGGCUCUAUUCCCCGCAGUUCCUGUGCCAUCCUCUCCUGCUGCCUUCUCACCAUCAUCAUCCGGAUUCCUCACCACCUCACCACCAUCUUGGAUUGUCGUCUUCCCAGCAUCAUUGUCUCAUUCCUGUUUGUUUGUUUAUUUUCAUUAAAUGGUAUAACUCGCUAUUGUUUCCAGUCCUUCAUUCACCCCGCCGUCACAAUGGCUUCCCUUUGCCGACUUCACCUUAACAGGAAGGAUGGCUAACACACUCUGGUCCUUACCGGCCCCUAUAUGUCCGCAUGUUUGAGGAGAGGACUGUUGCUGGCCAGGUGAAGCUGUUAACUGUUCCUGAGUCACUUGUCUUUUAAUAUGUAGUACAGUAGGGUGAGAUUGUCCACAGAUUUUACAUGCCAAGCGACCCUCACAGUCCCUGCUCAUGUGGCCGGCGCGUAGACAUGCAAAACAAACUCCCUUUUGUCUCAGGAAGAGGAUCUUCUCCUUGUGCAUUUUACCUUUAAACUGCUUGCACUCCUCCACAAGGUGGCGACGAUCACACCAAAGGCACUUAGCAUCCUCAGUGUGCUCUAUACCCAACGGCUGCUCCUUUACGUCCUCAAACAACUCUAACAACAAUGUUACCCCUUACAUAGCUCCUGGACUGUGAAUUAAACCUUGAAGGAGGCUUUGGUAGCGAGGA